UACGUAGGGCGCAAGCGUUGUCCGGAAUUAUUGGGCGUAAAGAGCUCGUAGGCGGUUUGUCGCGUCUGCUGUGAAAACCUAAGGCUCAACCUUGGGCUUGCAGUAGAUACGGGCAGACUAGAGGUAGGUAGGGGAGAAUGGAAUUCCCGGUGUAGCGGUGAAAUGCGCAGAUAUCGGGAGGAACACCGGUGGCGAAGGCGGUUCUCUGGGCCUUACCUGACGCUGAGGAGCGAAAGCGUGGGGAGCAAACAGG
rnacentral:rRNA from 1 species